CAAUAGCGUAUAUUAAAGUUGUUGCAGUUAAAAAGCUCGUAGUUGGAUUUCUGGUGGGAGCGAUCGGUCUGGCGCUUAGCGCGAGUACUUGCAUCGUCUCCGGCCAUCCUUGGGGAGAGUCUGUCUGGCAUUAGGUUGUCGGGCAGAGGAUCCUCAUCGUUUACUGUGAAAAAAUUAGAGUGUUCAAAGCAGGCUUAUGCCGUUGAAUAUAUUAGCAUGGAAUAAUAAGAUAGGACUUUGGUACUAUUUUGUUGGUUUGCGCACCAAAGUAAUGAUUAAUAGGGACAGUUGGGGGUAUUCGUAUUCCGUUGUCAGAGGUGAAAUUCUUGGAUUUACGGAAGACGAACUACUGCGAAAGCAUUUAUCAAGGAUGUUUUCAUUAA
rnacentral:rRNA from 1 species